UGUGAAAUGGGAAAUACAUUAUUAUUCACCUGGAAGAGAGUAACCUGACAUCACAUUUACUAAAAAGGCAUAAUAUUCUUUCUGUGAGAUGGUUGAUCUGAUAUUAAACAUUUUGUUUUUGAAAGGGCCCAGCAGGGAAGAUCAGACUCACCUGAAUCCAGCUGUGUGUCCAUGAAGAGUGACCAGUCUAUGAUACUGUCUAUAGAAUUCAGACAGAAAGCCUUCCCUACAAAACAAGGGGUCCAGCAGGAGAGAUCAGACUCACCUGUACCCAGCUGUGUCCAUGAAGAGUGACCAGUCAAUGAAGCUGCCUAUAGAAUUCAGACAGGCAGUCUUCCAGACAAAACAAGGAUGCUCGAAGACCACUAUCUAUUUUGUGAUGAAAGAGCUGAAGAGGUUCAAAAUGUUUCUGAGUCCUGAUCUUCCAGAAUGCUUUGAGAGUCAGAGGGAGGAUGCAGAAAUGGUGGACGCUGAAGAUGAGAAGCAGGAGAGCAUUUGCCAGAGAGGGGGCUCGGCAGAUCACACUGCAUUUCCUGAGGAACAUGAACCAGAAGGAGCCAGCUGACAUAAUGGAGAAAGACAAUGUAACCUCACAGAAAGAAGCUGUGAAGUGUUGGCCUCAGUUCUCAGCGCAAACUCCUCACACCUGAAGGAGCUGGACAUGAGUGACAACGACCUGCAGGAUUCAGGAGUGAAACUGCUUUCUAUUGGACUAGGGAUUUCACUUCUGUAAACUAGAGACAAUGAAGCUGUUGAAAUGUAACUUCACAGAAAGAUGCUGUGAAGAGCUGGCCUCAUUUCUCAGCUCAAACUCCUUACACCCGAGGCAGCUGGACCUAAGGGACAACGACCUGCAGGAUUCAGGAGUGAAGCUGCUCUCUGCUUAACUCGAGUCCACUCUGUAAACACUGAGCGAAGAUUGUCGCAGAGGGAGGUUGUGCUUCACUGGCCUCAGCUCUAAAGUCAAACCCCUCACAUAUGAGAGAGCUGGAUGUGAGCUACAAUAACCCGGGAGACUCUGGAAGGAAGUUGGUCUCUACUAAACUGGAGAAACUAUUACCUGUGCACACUUAAGGGCAGGCUACCUGGUAGUAGUAAAGGGUUUAAGUAACCUUUAAGAAGCUACUGCCUAAAAACUGCAGUUGUCAGGUGCGUCGUAAAAAGUGGACCAAGGCGCAGCGGGUAUCGUGCUCAUCUUCCUUUUUAUUUGGAUAAACGUGAACACUUAGAACAAAAAUAACAAACAACGACGAAAACAGUCCUGUAAGGCUACACAGCUAUACACAGAACAACUACCCACAAAACCCAUGGAAAAACACCCCAACUAAAUAGGACCUUCAAUUAGAGGCAACGAGGAACAGCUGCCUCCAAUUGAAGGUCAGCCCAAUAAACUAAACAUAGAAAUAUAAGAACAAACAUAGAAAUAUAUAAACAUAGAACAUAACCCAAAAACACCCGAAACACACAAAACAACCACACCACUGUCACAUCCUGACCAACUACAAUAACAAAAUGACCCCUUUUCUGGUCAGGACGUGACAGUACACCCCCCCCCCCCCCAAAAGGUGCAGACAACGAAUGCACCUUAACCAUAAGACAAACAAAACCCCACAACAAAAACCCAAAACUACAGGGAGGGAAGGGUGGGUGGCCACCGUCACCGACGGUUCCUGUGCAAACACCCCCCCUUCCCCAAUACUCCCCCCUACGGAGGUGGCUCUGGUUCUGGCCCUAGUCCCCAACCUAACAACAACUCAUCAGGUCGAUGACACCCUAUAGCUCCUUUGCUGCUCCUUUCUCCGCUGCUUGGUCCUCGUUUGGUGGGUAGUUCUGUCAGGUGCGUCGUAAAAAGUGGACCAAGGCGCAGCGGGUAUCGUGCUCAUCUUCCUUUUUAUUUGGAUAAACGUGAACACUUAGAACAAAAAUAACAAAAAUAACAAACAACGACAAAAACAGUCCUGUAAGGCUACACAGCUAUACACGGAACAACUACCCACAAAACCCAACUACCCACAAAAAACACCCCAACUAAAUAGGACCUUCAAUUAGAGGCAACGAGGAACAGCUGCCUCCAAUUGAAGGUCAGCCCAAUAAACUAAACAUAGAAAUAUAAGAACUAGAACAAACAUAGAAAUAUGUAAACAUAGAACAUAACCCCAAAAAACACACAAAACAAACACACCCCUGUCACGUCCUGACCAACUACAAUAACAAAAUGACCCCUUUUCUGGUCAGGACGUGACAGCAGUGUUGUUCCAAUUGUAUUGAGCACCUAUAUUUGCCAUAAGUCUUUGAUAUUUGUAUAUGGUGAUUAAGUUCAUAAUUUAUUAAUAAUAUCUUUUUUGGUCAUUACAGUAACGAAAGUGACUAACAACAUCAUGAUGUGAAGGGAACUUUACAUAAAGCCUACAGGUAUAAUUCAUUAUGAUGCGGUUUUGUCAUAAGCAAGUAUGACCCCAUAUAAUGCUUAUAACCAUCUCAUAAUGAUUCUGACUAAAUACCAGACAUUUUGAGUCAAUGACUCAACGAUUUUCGACAUAGACAUAAACUUAUUAUAAGCAUUUCAAUAACACAUUAUAAAGGCUUUUACAUGCUUAUAACAAGUAAUAAAGUACUAUACCUGGAGACUUGAAGUGUUACUGAUGCCUUUGAGGUCACACAGGACCAAAACACAGCCAUAUUGUGAUCACUCUAAGAUAUUUAAGCACAGGCGCCUGCUGAGGGGAGGACGGCUCAUAAUGGCUGGAACGGCGCAAAUGGAAUACAUGGAAACCAUGUGUUUGAUGUCGUCCAUACCAUUCCACUUAUUCCGCUCCAGCCUUUACCACAAGCCCAUCUUUCCCAAUUAAGGUGCCACCAACCUCCUGUGAUUUUGAGGUGUGGCCACAGUUGCUGUGUAGACAAGGGCUGACCGGGUACUGUUAUUGGGAGGCAAACUGGAGUGGGAUAUGGGCUCUUGUAGGGGUGACAUGUAAAAGACUUAGCGGGAGAGGAGAGGAUUUUGACACAAUGAUAAGUCAUGGAGUCUGCUGUGCUCUAACUACAUAUUCUUUAUGGCACAACUAUACGCAGACUACCAUACAUACACUACGACUCUGUUGCAGGUGGGGGUAUCUGGACUGGUUGGUCCUUCUACAGCGUCUCCACUGGCACACUUGUACACAUUCUGGCUCCACAUUCACUGAGCCUCUCUACCAAGGGUUUAGGGUUGAUAAAGUCAUUGACUCUUUUUCAUGAUUGAAUUAUAUUCAAAGAAUCUCAAACAUACCCUGUGACGUUGGAUUUACAGAUGUUCUCUAUCCUCUAUGUCUCAUUUUAACCACUAGAAAUAAGUAUAAACUGUGAAAUGGAUAAAAACGUUUGAAACGAGAAGGAUAAUGACACCUAUCACUUACUUGUAAAUGUUUAAUUGGCCAUUCAGGCAUAUGGUCAAAAAGUGCCGUUUUUUUUAUGGUUGUCACUGUAGAUAGGUUCUGACAAACUGACCACUGAAUGACCAACCAAAAAGUCUGCAUGUAUAAUAAAGAUAUUUCCC
rnacentral:lncRNA from 1 species